CCCCUGGUGUUAGGGGUGGACAUGCAGUAAAGUUGGAAGCAGGUUGUGGCACCCAGGUAUGCCCAGCUGAAGAUGCGAGACAGAAGGCAAAGGCAGGAGACAGAAGAAUAUCCAGGAAAUAAGCCAAGUUCAGGGCUGGUGGCAGGCAUGCACAGACAGUAGAUAAAUUGGGAGUCAUUACAUGGGAAGUCAGAUGCUAAAUACACGUAAUACUAGGCAAACAGGAGAUCAGAAAACUAGGAAGUUGCUCAGGCAACUGAGCAUGUCUAUAUAUAGGAAAGUCGACAGGGAGACGGGCCAGAAAGUUAUACAAAGGACAAGGAUAUAAGCCGACAGAAGAGCAAGCAACACCCAUAGGUGAACAGAGAAGCCAGCAGCACAUGUGAAUGGAGUCACAGAUCUAACAGAACUACUGCAGCAAAGAGGAACCAACAUACCCCUUUAAGGUUGGUAACCUUGUGGUGGUCCAGCAGCUGAACCGAACCAAAAAGCAGGAAUAUCCUUUUGGACCCCCAACUAUUGUAAUCACGGUAACCAGGACAGCAAUCCUUGUGGAAGGACAACAGUCCUGGAUCCAUGCCAGUCAAGUACUGUAUGCCAGGACCAUAAGAAGCAAGGCAAAGACAAAGAUAAAGACAAAAGAGGAAAAGAAAGUAGAGAAAAUCCUCGAAUACUGAGUGAAGAAGGUGGUCAAGUCUCUGGAAGGUGGUCAAGUCUCUGGAAAAAGAUGACCUCGCUUAUUUCACCACAGACUUCUGGGAAAGCCUUCUGUUCCUGAUGACUGAUUGUGUUCCUACCCACCUGGGUCAUAACUAACUGUAUAUAUCAUCCAGAGGACUUGGGAGCCUUAAAAGGCAUAUGUGGGUCACUUCAGAAUCAAUCUAAUCAUACACAUAUAAGACAUAAGAGAGAUAUACAAGCUGAAGAAAAUAAGGACGUUAGUUUCACUGAUAAAGAUGCUUUUAUUAAAAUUUAAAUAUAGCUAUGCUAAUAAAGCUUACCUCAGUAUGUAUUACAAUAAAGAGGCUACCUAUAUUACAACGAAGGGAAAAUUAGCCAUUUAAUGUAAUUUAAUUAUGUCUCAAAGAGGGGAUUGUAAGAGACUGUAUAAAACAAUUAUUUGCCUAUUUCACACACAGCCAUCUUUCUGUUUCUGUAAAGACAUACAUCUUUAUUUGUAGGCAACUCACCUAUAUAGAUUGUGGCAUACCUUUAUCUGUGGGAAACAUCUGUUUUACAUGGAGCUGUGCAUUCUUGUGACAUUCUUGUGGUUUUAGCCAAAGUCUGAAUACAUUUUCUUUCCUAACUGUAAUAUAUGUUAUUGAGAAAUAUGCAUUUUCAAGAUAGAAGCAGAUGCUUGCUAAAUAGAUGACGUAUGUCUUAUACUGAUAAGGGAAGUCACUCCUAUGCCCCACCUCUUUUGUCUUUGAAACUGUAUAAAUACUGUGAAUCUGUGUUCAAUAAACUAGAGACCUUUUGAUAGCACUCUGUUCAUGUGCAUCAUUGGGUUCUCUCUCAGAUCUGACGGA